rnacentral:tRNA from 1 species
CCCCCUUUGGCUUAGAUGGUAAAGAAUCUGCCUGCAGUGCAGGAGACCUGGGUUUGAUUCCUAGGCGGGGAG